AAGAGAGUCCACCAAAAAUACUCCCAUCGGUCAACCCCUCUCUCCCUUCUGCCCCAUUUUAAUUUCUCCCAAAAUCAAAGCAUCCGGCCCCAAAUUCCACAUCCACCAUCCAUCCUCGUCCACCUCCGCCGGACGCCACCCCUGCGUAUUCCAGCCGGCAGUCAUCUCGAACAUCUGGCGACCCCACAGUCGCCACUACUCUCUCACCACCACCGUUCUGUCGAUUCCUCAGCAGAAAACGCCGAUGUCGCGAGAGGCUGCCGCUGCUGUUUCGCCGAUUCGCCACUGUCAUCGCGGAGUUGCCACAGCCAAACAGCACGCCGAGUUAGCGCCUCGCUGUGCAGUUCCUGCUCCGGAGAUCGCCGUCGACGCGCGAGCAGUCCCGAGUUCGCCUCCCGAAACCAACCCGAACAACCCCGAAAGUUAAGUUCUUUACUUCCAACUUAUGUUCUUUUACCGAUUUCAAAUAGUUGCAGCGGGGGUUCAAUUCGUUUGAUGUUGAUUGUGAUGUUUGAUCGGUGUUGAUUUCUUUUAAUUUGGUUCGAGUUCCGAUUGAUUUAUAUGAUGAAAUGCUUGUGAACGAACUAUAUGAUUGUGACUUGAAAUUAUAACUUCCUCGAACAAAAUGGUGGUUGGAAGGGAUGGAAAGCUUCUUUGAAUUCCUUGCAUAUGCUUGAAACUGGAAUGGAAUUGAGGAGUUUGUGCUAUGAAUUUGUAAAAAGAAAUUACCUUGGCUUGUAUGCUAUUGGGACAAAAGACAACAGUUCCUCUUCUCUCUCGUUCUCAGUUUGUUUCUUUCCUACAGUUUGCAAAUUCUGAAAGUGAGAAGGAAUGGUGAGACUACCGUGAUUAUGAGGGAGUGAAAACAGGUAACGGCUGGAAGAUGGAGAGGAUAUCUGAACAGAUUUGAGAAGAAAACUCACGGGACAAAUUUUUGGAGGAUCUACCGUGAAAGAAAAAGAUGGAGGGAUUUCAAAAGGAACAAGCAUCUCCCACUUAUUUAUUUAUUUGUUUUAAUUCAUAGACCAAAAGCCAAUUUUGUAAUAUAAAUAUUGGACUCUAUUUAAUUGAGAAGCCCAAAAGGAACAAGCAUCUCCCACUUAUUUAUUUAUUUGUUUUAAUUCAUAGACCAAAAGCCAAUUUUGUAAUAUAAAUAUUGGACUCUAUUUAAUUGAGAAGCCCAAAUAUUACUUCACAUUUUAUAUCU